CUCUCCGUAUCGCAGAUUCGCAACCAUCAUCUCGCAGCCACCGCCGGCGACGCACCAAUCAACCGCCAGUCUAAAAUGAAAAGAUUGUACGGUUACUCUGCGGCAGAGAUAGAGAAAAAGAUGCAGAGAGGCUGUUCGCUGCUUUGCGCGAUCGAGAAAUGGCGAUUUACAUAUCUUUGAGCCACAAAUGAGGUCCGUGAGAAGUCCAAGUUCUGGUAUUUUUUGAGGAAGCUGAAGAAGGUGAAGAAAGCCAAUGGCCAGGUCCUAGCUAUCAAUGAGAUCUUUGAGAAGAACCGUACCACUAUAAGAGCAUUCCUAUCAAUAGUUUUUUCAAGGUUCAUGUCAGACAAAUAACUAAUGCAUGGCUUUGAAACUGAUGUAGGAAUGAGUUAUUGCAUUCUUGGUUGUCAGAAUAAAGAAAGAGCUGCAGUGCGCACUGUAGCCCGCUUGGGAGAUUGAGAGUGGCCGCCAGCAAAAAACUGGAGAAAAAACUCCAACUGAUAAGGAUGCUCUAAAAAAAAAUCAACCGUCAGUCUGUCGGCAAUGCACCAACCAGCCGCCAUUCCGCCGGCGACGCAGCCCCUCCACCUUGCUGAAAUUUGCCAUCCCUUUCAAUGAAUGUAUGAUCAGCAUUGCAACAAAAGAGAAGAAAGGGAAUUAAUUUUGUGGCUGACGAAAGAAGAAAAGAAAAAGAGAAAAAGGGAAUUCAUUUUGGUGGGUUGCGCGACAGUAAAGGAACCAAUUCGAGUUGUUUUUGUUUUUUCCUUUUGGGGGUGGCAGAACAAGGACGAACGAGGACGACACGGAGAAUAGAGAAGCUGACUACUACGGUAGUGCAUCAGCGAGGAGAAAUUGCAGCAGGAAGCGAAGAGAUUCAAGGCUUCGUUGUAGCGGAAUUUCGAGCUUCAAUCGCAGUUGUCUCCUUAGGCUUGGAUUACUUUUCUUCGUAUCAUUCUCUUAUCUUAUUUUAUCUAUUUUUGGUUAAAUUCCCAGAUUAGCAUUCUCAUUCUGAUGUGUCAAAAUUUCUUGAACAGUUUAUGCAUUUAAUUAUGAUUAUUGGCUAAAACUUUAAUUAGGGAUUUGGAUUAGCCUUAUAUUAGAGUAAUUGACUGCUCCCUAGGUUUGAUUCUUCUAAUUUCAAUUAAAUAAUUGAAUGUGAUUAUAUUUAUCUUA